CUCAUUAAAAACCUUAAUGUAGGUACUAAAAUGCAACCAGUAAGCAUUAGGAACUAAUAACAGGACCAAACGAUUCAUUAAACACCGCAGGUGCAAAAAGGGAUAGCAGACAAAAGAUUGGGAGAAGAAAACUGGAGUACGAUAGGCAAAACUAUGCAGCAGGUUGCUCCUCGGUUGCAGAGGCUUCUUUCUGGGGUUCGUCUGCAGGGCCAUUAGAGGUGGCAUCCUUUGGUUGUGAUGCUGAUGCACCUUCAGCUGUAGAACCGGUUGCUUUAGAUGAUGUUUCUUUUCCAUCCUUACCAUCUUUGGCAUCUUUAGCAGGAGCAGGUGGUGGAGGAAUCAUGUGAGGUGGUGGUGUAUGCUUCAGCUUUAACAGUAUUUGGCGCAUCCUGGAAAGAUCUGUGGGUUUGCCAGGCUUUGGGCCUUGGAUAACAUUAAUUGAUGGCUUCUUCUCCUGAUCUUUUUUGCCUCUCUUCUUUUCAAUGUUGGCAACCUCACGAGGAAUGAGCUCUGCAAUUGUCUUCCAGUAAGCUUUGUCUGCCUCUUUGUGAAACUUCUCUUGAUUAGCCAAGAAUAACU
rnacentral:lncRNA from 1 species